rnacentral:lncRNA from 1 species
UAUGGGAUGUGUAUAGAUAUUUAAUGAUCAAUAAUGAACUGAUACACUGGGCUGGAAUUGAUUGAUAGGUGAAGAAGAUUCCCGGAGUGACCAUCUUCUCCUCCUCCCACCCUCUAUACUUCUCCAACAGUGAGCUCUUCUUCACCUCACUCAGACAGGUAUAUACUGUGCGUGUGUGUGUGUGUGUAUAUAUAUAUAUAUAUAUAUAUAUAUAUAUAUAUUGGUAAUCAUACCUAACAUAAAUAAUGUAAUGAUGUGUAUUGAAAGAAAACUAAAUAAAUGUGUGUCCGUGUGUGUGUGUGUGUGUGUAUGUGUGCAGAUAGUAAAUGUAGAGAGGAAGGAGAAUCCUGCAGUAAGUUCUUCAGGGUUCAGAGAGAAUCAGCACUGUGUGAUUCUGGAGCUGAGUGCUGUUAGCUUCAUGGAUUCAACAGCCAUUAACAUGCUUACUACUCUCAUUGAGGACUUGAAUAUCAUGCAGAUCUCUCUGUUUCUUGCUGCCUGUCCAGACGGACUCUUCUCCCAGAUGAAGGAACAUGGUUUAGUUCCAGAUGGUUUGGCGAGAUCCUGCUUUUUCCACUCAGUGCACCACGCUGUCCAGCACUGGCAGAACGUGCAGGACGUGGACUCUGGUGACCUCACCGACGAUUCAACCCCAACACACAUUCACCUUCAUGAACUGGAACAGGACACCUUUGAACCUUUGACCUUUGACCUCCAGGACUGAGCUCUUCCUACUGGAUGAUUACAAAAAAAAACAUUGAGUACAUUUUUUUUUGGGAUGAAAUAUAAAUUAAUGCAUGUUUUACAAUUGUGGAACCUUUGCACCAGGUCAGAGGCAGGGUUAGCGCAGGUCGCAACGCUAACAGUCAGGCUCAGCAGGGUUGGAGCCACAAUGCUAACAGACACAGCAGCUGGGCUUGCCAGGGUUACCAUGAGUUAGCCACAGGGCAAAUAGCUAGGUUUAGCAGGGUUGUAGCCACAGUGCUAAUACACACAGCAGCUGGGGAUACACAGGGUUUUGGAGCAGAUUGCAAUGCUAAUAGCCAGGUUUAGCAGGGUUGGAGCCACAAUGCUAACAGACACAGCAGCUGGGCUUGCCAGGGUUAGCAUGAGUUAACCACAGGGCAAACAGACAGUUUUAGUAGGGUUGGAGCCGCAAUGCUAAUACAAACAGCAGCCGGGGAUACACAGGGUUGAAGCUGGUUACAAUGCUAACAGCCGGGUGUAGCAGGCUUGGGAGCAACAACUCUAAUAAAAAACAACUAGGGUUAGCA